AUACAUGCAAGUCGAGCGAAUGGAUUAAGAGCUUGCUCUUAUGAAGUUAGCGGCGGACGGGUGAGUAACACGUGGGUAACCUGCCCAUAAGACUGGGAUAACUCCGGGAAACCGGGGCUAAUACCGGAUAACAUUUUGAACCGCAUGGUUCGAAAUUGAAAGGCGGCUUCGGCUGUCACUUAUGGAUGGACCCGCGUCGCAUUAGCUAGUUGGUGAGGUAACGGCUCACCAAGGCAACGAUGCGUAGCCGACCUGAGAGGGUGAUCGGCCACACUGGGACUGAGACACGGCCCAGACUCCUACGGGAGGCAGCAGUAGGGAAUCUUCCGCAAUGGACGAAAGUCUGACGGAGCAACGCCGCGUGAGUGAUGAAGGCUUUCGGGUCGUAAAACUCUGUUGUUAGGGAAGAACAAGUGCUAGUUGAAUAAGCUGGCACCUUGACGGUACCUAACCAGAAAGCCACGGCUAACUACGUGCCAGCAGCCGCGGUAAUACGUAGGUGGCAAGCGUUAUCCGGAAUUAUUGGGCGUAAAGCGCGCGCAGGUGGUUUCUUAAGUCUGAUGUGAAAGCCCACGGCUCAACCGUGGAGGGUCAUUGGAAACUGGGAGACUUGAGUGCAGAAGAGGAAAGUGGAAUUCCAUGUGUAGCGGUGAAAUGCGUAGAGAUAUGGAGGAACACCAGUGGCGAAGGCGACUUUCUGGUCUGUAACUGACACUGAGGCGCGAAA
rnacentral:rRNA from 1 species